rnacentral:rRNA from 1 species
CAGUAGCCACGGUAAUACGUAGGUGGCAAGCGUUGUCCGGAAUUAUUGGGCGCAAAGGGCUCGCAGGCGGUUUCUUAAGUCUGAUGUGAAAGCCCCCGGCUCAACCGGGGAGGGUCAUUGGAAACUGGGAAACUUGAGUGCAGAAGAGGAGAGUGGAAUUCCACGUGUAGCGGUGAAAUGCGUAGAGAUGUGGAGGAACACCAGUGGCGAAGGCGACUCUCUGGUCUGUAACUGACGCUGAGGAGCGAAAGCGUGGGGAGCGAACAGGAUUAGAUACCCCGGUAGUCCCUGUCUCUUAUAC